rnacentral:miRNA from 1 species
UUAGGUUCAUUCAAUUAAUGA